rnacentral:rRNA from 1 species
AAAUUGAAGAGUUUGAUCAUGGCUCAGAUUGAACGCUGGCGGCAGGCCUAACACAUGCAAGUCGAACGGUAACAGGAAGCAGCUUGCUGCUUCGCUGACGAGUGGCGGACGGGUGAGUAAUGUCUGGGAAACUGCCUGAUGGAGGGGGAUAACUACUGGAAACGGUAGCUAAUACCGCAUAAUGUCGCAAGACCAAAGAGGGGGACCUUCGGGCCUCUUGCCAUCGGAUGUGCCUAGGUGGGAUUAGCUUGUUGGUGGGGUAACGGCUCACC